rnacentral:rRNA from 1 species
CCUACGGGUGGCAGCAGUGAGGAAUAUUGGUCAAUGGGCGCGAGCCUGAACCAGCCAAGUAGCGUGAAGGAUGACGGCCCUACGGGUUGUAAACUUCUUUUAUAAGGGAAUACAGUGAGCCACGUGUGUCUUUUUGUAUGUACUUUAUGAAUAAGGAGCGGCUAACUCCGUGCCAGCAGCCGCGGUAAUACGGAGGGUCCGAGCGUUAUCCGGAUUUAUUGGGUUUAAAGGGAGCGGAGAUGGGUUGUUAAGUCAGUUGUGAAAGUUCGCGGCUCAACCGUGAAAUUGCAAUUGAUACUGGCAGCCUUGAGUACAGUUGAGGUAGGCGGAAUUCGUGGUGUAGCGGUGAAAUGCUUAGAUAUCACGAAGAACUCCGAUUGCGAAGGCAGCCUACUAAACUGCCACUGACAUUGAGGCUCGAAAGUGUGGGUAUCAAACAGGAUUAGAUACCCUUGUAGUC